rnacentral:rRNA from 1 species
UGGGGAAUAUUGCGCAAUGGGGGGAACCCUGACGCAGCCAUGCCGCGUGAAUGAAGAAGGCCUUCGGGUUGUAAAGUUCUUUCGGUAUUGAGGAAGGUUGAUGUGUUAAUAGCACAUCAAAUUGACGUUAAAUACAGAAGAAGCACCGGCUAACUCCGUGCCAGCAGCCGCGGUAAUACGGAGGGUGCGAGCGUUAAUCGGAAUAACUGGGCGUAAAGGGCACGCAGGCGGUUAUUUAAGUGAGGUGUGAAAGCCCUGGGCUUAACCUAGGAAUUGCAUUUCAGACUGGGUAACUAGAGUACUUUAGGGAGGGGUAGAAUUCCACGUGUAGCGGUGAAAUGCGUAGAGAUGUGGAGGAAUACCGAAGGCGAAGGCAGCCCCUUGGGAAUGUACUGACGCUCAUGUGCGAAAGCGUGGGGAGCAAACAGGAUUAGAUACCCUGGUAGUCCACGCUGUAAACGCUGUCGAUUUGGGGAUUGGGCUUAGAGCUUGGUGCCCGUAGCUAACGUGAUAAAUCGACCGCCUGGGGAGUGCGGCCGCAAGGUUA